CAUCGAUGAAGAACGCAGCGAAAUGCGAUAAGUAAUGUGAAUUGCAGAAUUCAGUGAAUCAUCGAAUCUUUGAACGCACCUUGCGCUCCUUGGUAUUCCGAGGAGCAUGCCUGUUUGAGUGUCAUUAAAUUCUCAACCUUUCCAGCUUUUACU
rnacentral:rRNA from 1 species